CCGAGUGUCUUUUGCGAAGUUCCAAAAUAGAAGACACUGGACUUGUCUGCUGUGAAGAGAGCAACGCCUCGCUCGCAUUUCCAGUGGCCUGAAAAAAUUCGUCAUCGAGAGAAAGACGACCUUGGAAACCAUACCUCUACGAUUUCAACUUGAGGCGCCAGUCGUGUAUCAUAAACUUCAGAAAAGGUACUCUGUUCUAGCGUGUCUCCAGGCCCGUCUUCGUCCACGAGAGCCUGCUUUCUCGAAAGUUUUAUUGGCGUCGUUUGGUAUGCUGGCGAAGAAGUCGUAAGAUUCGCACUUUCCAAACUUUGGUGGCAACUGAUAUAUCGUCUCAGCGUCGGAGUGGAAGCGUCUUGGAUGUCCAGUGGCGUCCGUUCCGGCGAAGGCAAAUGCGAGCUGACGUCUCUGAAAGCACUCUCCCGAGCCUUCCUGGCGAUCUCUUGAGCGAUUUCUUUCGCAUCCUUGGAGCCAUCUCUGAGGCGAUGUACAACGAACUCCUGCCAGAUUGCUGCUGCGUUUUGGUUUCGGUGACAGCGUGCAGUACUUUCUCCCUGGCUGGAGAGUCGGGCUCAAACUCCUCCCUGUGAAAUCGCGGUUGCGUUUCAAAGACUUUGUUGCUGGUUGUUUCCCCCGAGAAUCUGGAGAGUGCGGCUUGUUGAUCAUCACCUUCUCGUGAAAUUGUCUAGUUUCUCUUGUGCUAGCAUGUACUGGUGGAGAACAGGACCCUGUUUCUUGUCUUCCCUUUGCCGGACCAGGCUUCAAAACUACAAUCCUCGUCGAACCAUUGUCAAUAGAGACUUUCUUUCGAGUUUCAGCACGUUGCCCUUCAUGUCCGUUCAACAAGAGAUGGAGAAGAGUUGGCGUCUUCAAAGGCUCCUCAUUCACAGGCUCCACUGGACUUUCAAACUGGAGAAAGCUGUCCUUACUCGGCUCGAGAGACCGCAUCGCUUCCAAAAGCUGCUGGGAUCGGUGCGUAACCCUCGGAGAGUAAUUCGGUGUUGUACCCUCCCGGAAAGUCUUGCCCAGCACUGACUUUGUGGCUCUUGAAAACUGGCCAGCUUCUUGCGACUGUGUCUCGAGAGUUUGUGCGAGACAGCUUCUAUCAUCUUCGCCCUUUCCAACGAAGAGCCGUUCCUCUUAAGCAUGUCACCCAUUGUCUCCACCGGCAUUGUCUCGAGACCCAUAAGUCUUGCCACUACACCCGGUGGUUUUGCUUUUGCACACGUUGAAAGAACGCUAUGCUUCGCAGCUGGAAUCUCA
rnacentral:lncRNA from 1 species